rnacentral:sRNA from 1 species
AGAUUCGAUGGUUAUAAUCGUUCACAC